UAUGUUAGAACAUCUUUAUUACAGAGCUUCGUCCCGACUAACAUUGGACCCGAAUCAAUAACAAGGCAAGAGUUUAUUAUGCAGCAUGUAACGGAGUUUGCAAAUGAGCUGUAUAAUCCUCAACCCGAAGAACCAAGAGCUGUCGCUGUGAUUGACAGUACCUACGCGGAUAUACAUAAAAGUAUAGUUAUUUGUGUAACAAGUGAGUUGUAGCUCCCGAUGGUUACAGUCUAACGAUUUUUGGUCCCUAUUUCUCUGAUGCUCGGAAUAAUGAUGCCAAAAUUCUCCGUCAAGAGUUCGAGAAAGAUGCAGAAACAUUACAAGGCUGGUUUCAGAAUGGUGACAUCGUUUUGGCGGAUAGAGGUUAUCGUGAUGCAAUACCCUUACUCCAGCGUUUAGGCAUUGAUCAUAAGAUGCCUCCACUGCUUGAACACGGACAAAGGCAACUUCCAACGCAAGAUGCGAAUGAUUCACGUAUCGUCAAAAAAAAUCACUGGGUAGUCGAAGCACGGAAUGGCCACUUGAGGUCAGUUUUCAAGUUCUUAGCACAAACAAUAAAUCUGCAAAAAACCUUAAUGGAUUCUAUCGCAUAGCUGGAGCUAUACUAAACAGGUAUCAUCCUAUUAUCCAAAUGCAAGGUGCAGAUGUCAUACAAGCAAGAGUAGAGCUAGAUAACUUGCGACUAAGAAAUGGCCAAUGGAGACGGCUCAAUUAUCGUGACGUGGCAGAUUUCCCUAUAUUUGAUUUGAAUUACUUGAAAGAUUUGACUGUGGGCAUUUAUCAAAUAAAUCUAGCACCUUCAUAUAUCCAAGAUAAGCUACUAAGGAAUAAUGAUGAAGAAUUUCAACUUGAUCAACAUUUCAACAAGCCAGGUUUUCUGAGAAUUAGGUUGUAUUCCAGAUUUUGUAAUGCAACAAGACAUCAGAUCUUCAUUUCAUAUGAGAUUGAUAAUAGGGAUGAUGAGAAUGCUGCUGAUAAUGCUAAUGAGCCAAUUAAUGGAUAUUAUUGUACGUGUCGGUAUAACCGACAAAAUUACCAUUUUCUAUGUUAUCGACUAU